rnacentral:rRNA from 1 species
AUUGAACGCUGGCGGCAUGCUUUACACAUGCAAGUCGAACGGUAACAGGGAGCUUGCUCCGCUGACGAGUGGCGAACGGGUGAGUAAUGCGUCGGAACGUGCCGAGUAGUGGGGGAUAACUACUCGAAAGAGUGGCUAAUACCGCAUGAGAUCUACGGAUGAAAGCAGGGGAUCGCAAGACCUUGUGCUACUAGAGCGGCCGAUGGCAGAUUAGGUAGUUGGUGGGGUAAAGGCGUACCAAGCCGACGAUCUGUAGCUGGCUUGAGAGGACGACCAGCCACACUGGGACUGAGACACGGCCCAGACUCCUCCGGGAGGCAGCAGUGGGGAAUUUUGGACAAUGGGCGCAAGCCUGAUCCAGCAAUGCCGCGUGCAGGAAGAAGGCCUUCGGGUUGUAAACUGCUUUUGUACGGAACGAAACGGCCUGGGUUAAUACCCUGGGCUAAUGACGGUACCGUAAGAAUAAGCACCGGCUAACUACGUGCCAGCAGCCGCGGUAAGAC